rnacentral:rRNA from 1 species
CUACGGGUUGCUCCAGUGAGGAAUAUUGCACAAUGGGGGGAACCCUGAUGCAGCAACGCCGCGUGGAGGAUGACGCAUUUCGGUGUGUAAACUCCUUUUAUGUGUCAAGAAAAUGACGGUAGCAUAUGAAUAAGCACCGGCUAACUCCGUGCCAGCAGCCGCGGUAAUACGGAGGGUGCAAGCGUUACUCGGAAUCACUGGGCGUAAAGGACGCGUAGGCGGGUUGGAAAGUCAGGUGUGAAAUCCUACAGCUUAACUGUAGAACUGCACUUGAAACUUCUAAUCUAGAGUAUGGGAGGGGGAGAUGGAAUUAGUGGUGUAGGGGUAAUAUCCGUAGAUAUCACUAGGAAUACCUAAAGCGAAGGCGAUCUCCUGGAACAUUACUGACGCUAAGGCGUGAAAGCGUGGGGAGCAAACAGGAUUAGAUACCCGGGUAGUC